AUGAAUUACACGUUUUAGCGCACGCGUCACACUCGGCUCGUCACUCACGGCGAGCAGGCAGGGGGCUUGAGCAGAGUUACGCAUGAAGGUUUGAAGGUUUAUGGAGAUCGCUGUGUCCAAAGAUGAAAGUUUGCACCCUUGGGAAGCGGAGCGAGUUUCAUGGUGCUCGAAACGAAAUAAAUUGCAUCGGUCGAACUCCACGCUUCCUUAUAUGUUGUCUUGGUCGAGGGCUGCUACAGACAGUCUGCAUGUGCUUGAGACAGACGGGCCACAUUGCCUGCAGUGGAAACAAGAGCAUUGACUAGAGAGGGCGCUAUAAGCUCCGGAGUGCCCAUCUCAGAUGGAAAUUCAACCGAUCCCUUGGAAUCUGACAGUAAAAUUGAAGUGUUUUUUCCAGUGUGUCACUUCACUAAGGUAGACUGAUAUUUUAAGCAUUUUCAUAUUUUGAUUUGAGGCAUUUCAGAACAUCUGAAGGAAAAGAUUAAACUGAUCUUGACACAUGUUGAUGUUAAAACUAUAAUUAUAGAAUAAUGAACCAUCACUGCUGCUGUAUGAAGCUAUCAAUGCAGGUUAAAAUGUUUCAAUGGUCCACUACAGGAUAUGAUGUCACAGAUAGACGGACAAAUACCUGUCACCUCCUUCUUCUCUUCCUGCUCGCUCAGAGGGCUGCUCAGGUGUGUCGGACGUCUCUGGGCCUGAAAGAGAAGGGAGAUGUUUAGAGGACACAAAGUUACCGUGUGCUCUCACAUGAUGGGUUUCAUUAUUGUUGCAGUCACUGGGGUUAUGUUUCAGAUGUAUAUGCUCAGUAUGAUCCCACAUUUUCAAAACUGCUUUACACUGCAGCUUUGACAGUGACGAUCACUUCAGCUUCACAAUAAAAUCAAACAGUUUGAAAACAUGAUUUAUUGGCAUAUUAAAAAACACUGAGUAUAGAUAUUUGUUUACAUGUUAAACAUCAUAAAGAGGAUGUUUAAUAGAAGUUAAUCAAGAUUUCACAUGGUCUCAGAUGUUUCUUCUUCUAUGAGAGAAUAUUUCAUCCGGGAGUUUGAACUCCUACAGCUGCUCUUACACUGUAUGUACAUGCUGAUUUUUAC